GAUGAACGCUGGCGGCGUGCCUAAUACAUGCAAGUAGAACGCUGAAGGAAGGAGCUUGCUCUUUCCGGAUGAGUUGCGAACGGGUGAGUAACGCGUAGGUAACCUGCCUGGUAGCGGGGGAUAACUAUUGGAAACGAUAGCUAAUACCGCAUAACAGUAGAUGUUGCAUGAUAUCUACUUAAAAGGUGCAAUUGCACCACUACCAGAUGGACCUGCGUUGUAUUAGCUAGUUGGUGAGGUAACGGCUCACCAAGGCGACGAUACAUAGCCGACCUGAGAGGGUGAUCGGCCACACUGGGACUGAGACACGGCCCAGACUCCUACGGGAGGCAGCAGUAGGGAAUCUUCGGCAAGGGACGGAAGUCUGACCGAGCAACGCCGCGGGAGUGAAGAAGGUUGUCGGAUCGUAAAGCUCUGUUGUAAGAGAAGAACGAGUGUGAGAGUGGAAAGUUCACACUGUGACGGUAUCUUACCAGAAAGGGACGGCUAACUACGUG
rnacentral:rRNA from 1 species